GUCAAUCUGCAAAACACGAUACAUCUGUUGCUACCAAAUGCCUCGGGACCAAGAGAUGGAUGAGGAAACAAUGAUAGAUUGGCUAGCUGUACCUUGUUGCAGUUGGGGAUGAGUUCUUGCAAGGCGCGCAUUUUCUCGUUGAUCCGGUCUCUUCUCCUCUGCAGGUUUGUUGCAUUGCAAUGCGAUCAGCUCAAUUGUAGCGCGCGUUUUGAAGGCCAGGAAAUUAGCCUGUAUCUUGAUGAAUGCGUUAUAUUGUGAAGUGGCCUGCUUACCCUUUCUGACAAAUUGUGCACCUCGGCGGUGCGACUGCGCUUCGUGCCUCUGCUGCCAGAUCUUCUCAUGCCACCGGACUCAUCUUCAAGGUCCUGAAGAGAACCAAUCCUUUUAAUUAGCACUGCAAGGACUCGUCAUUUCCUGUUCCAGCGCCAUUGCCGGAGCAGACCGACGAAGUUGCGACUGCGGCCUCGGGCGCCUUCCUGGUCUCAACCUUUUUCUGCAGAGCCAUGCUGGCAAGUCUGUCCGGGGGCAUCUCUUGCUGCAGGUUACCAGCUGUCGGUGCUGCCGUGCAGGAGAACCGCACCUCCUUGGGCUGUUGUGGCCACGCCGUCCUCUGCUCCGUGAACCCAGGGGCAGCUCUUGCCCCCCUGGCCGACUGGAGGACCGUCGACUCCACACGGGUGCUCGUGGUGACAUUGGAAGCCUUGUCCGUGCCUGUUUGUGGCGGCCUCUGCGCGUUCUGCAGGCUUGCUCGCGCCAUGGCGGCCGGCCUAGAGAAGAGGGAGAAGUUCAUCAAGCCCUCUCCGCUGCCGCCCAGCCGAGGCUGCUUGGUGGCCGCGAACUCGGCUUGUGGUUCAGGCCAGGUGGCUGGACCUGGAAUCGGUGGUGGCAGGGAGCCGAGGUUCGUCGCCGCCGCCGCCGCUGCAUGGAGCUCCGAGAAGAAAUCCGGGCUGUAGCUGCCCGCAAGGGCAGGCUCGGCGGUGUCUUCCUCGAUGAUGGGGUAGUGGAUCCAGGGCACGGUGUCAUCAAGAUCACCGUUAUCACGGGUGGCGUCUAGGCCGGAGGAGAAGUCGUGAAGCGACGGGGCCAAGCCGCCGGCACCGAAGACACCUCCUGUCUUCAACAGCGCCACGGGGUCACCGCCCGGCUGCUUUUCUUGAGCCCGGCUGCUGCUGGCAGCGCCGCAGGUGAAGGGCGGGAACGAGGUCUGGGGCGGCUGCUUCCUCCGCCCGUGCACCACUGCAUGCCCGUUCUCCCACAGAAGCUCUGCAAACUCGUUGCCGUCGGACCUGCAUCCCACGUACAUGCACGAGGACCGUAAGCAAGCAAGAACCGAUUGGAACAGAAGCAUGGUCAGCUGGGAGGGAAAAAGGAUCGCUCACAUCUGGGCCUGGAGCUCGGUGGACGACACAGGGGCUCGCGGCGAGCAGGCGCAGGGGGAGGGGACAGCAGGCAAGGCACGCUUGGUGGAGGUGAGCGCACUGGGAACAGAGAUCGCGGCGGCGGCGCAACAGCGGACUGGCUGUUGAUCGAACGCGACGGCUAACCGGUUGGUUCUGCCUCUGCUGCUGCUGGUGCUGCUUGCUUCUUGUUGCUCAGGAGCCGAGCUUGGCUACAGGAGGGGGGCUGGGAGCUCUCGGCCUCAGCUCGGUGGGAAAUGGCAGUUAACAGCGAGCGGGAGGGCAAGCUGCGGGCACUGUUGCCCUGCGGGAGAUAAGACGUGGGGACCCCGGCAGGCGGUGGAUGGAAAUGGACAAGCAGAUAAGAUGGGCAAAAAUGUGCAAGGCAACGCCGUCGGCCUAGGCGGUGCUCUGUACCCGCCCGCCCCCCCAAGCUAGAUCUAAAUGAUUGGGUGAUCGCCGGGUCGGGGGACCGAAAUCCCCAUCGCAUGAAUGAUGAGCAGCGGGGAACACUGCUGCGCCUCGUGCAGUGCAGCAGUUAGACAGCCUGCCGCGAGCAGCUGCGCCACCAAGUGUACAUGUACUUGCGACCGAUCGAUCUAUGGGCAGGGCAUCCACCUCAACAACUGCAGCAGAGUCCGUCGUCCCAGCGAGGACGACUCCGUCCGGCCGGCCUCUGGCAUCUGCAAAGCCAAAAAGCGGCAUCGCUGGCUGCCAAAGCAGAAAAGAAAAAGGGAGCUGAAGGAGAAGGGUGGAAGGCAAAGCCACUUUGGCUGUGUUCACUUCCUUCAAAAUUUUCAAACUUUUCGUCACAUUGAAAUCACAUCGAAAUAUUAAAUAUAACAAAUGACUCAUAUAUGGAGUAUUAAAUGUAGAUAAAUAAAAAAACUAAUUGCAUAGU